AUACCUUUCUCGGCCUUUUGGCUAAGAUCAAGUGUAGUAUCUGUUCUUAUCAGUUUAAUAUCUGAUAUGUGGGUCAUCGGCCCACAUGAUAUUAACUCUAUUUUUUUAGGGUGAAAGCCCUCUAAGAUAGCUUGCUAUUUGGGCUUUCGUGAGUCGCCCAUGUGUUGCACUAUUGCAAGGGCCCGGCUCAACCCAU
rfam:Brassica napus, WGS project CCCW01000000 data, contig: 18977